AGGGCAGCUACCCAGCAAUGGGAUGCGAAUCUCGAAAGCCUGCCUCAGUUCGGAUUGGAGGCUGAAACCCGCCUCCAUGAAGUUGGAUUCGCUAGUAAUCGCGCAUCAGCCAUGGCGCGGUGAAUACGUUCCCGGGCCUUGUACACACCGCCCGUCAAGCCAUGGGAGCCGGGGGUGCCUGAAGUUCGUGACCGCAAGGAGCGACCUAGGGCAAAACUGGUGACUGGGGCUAAGUCGUAACAAGGUAGC
rnacentral:rRNA from 1 species